rnacentral:rRNA from 1 species
AGUGAACGCUGGCGGUAGGCCUAACGCAUGCAAGUCGAACGGCAGCACAGUAAGAGCUUGCUCUUACGGGUGGCGAGUGGCGGACGGGUGAGGAAUACAUCGGAAUCUACUUUUUCGUGGGGGAUAACGUAGGGAAACUUACGCUAAUACCACAUACGACCUACGGGUGAAAGCAGGGGAUCUUCGGACCUUGCGCGAUUGAAUGAGCCGAUGUCGGAUUAGCUAGUUGGCGGGGUAAAGGCCCACCAAGGCGACGAUCCGUAGCUGGUCUGAGAGGAUGAUCAGCCACACUGGAACUGAGACACGGUCCAGACUCCUACGGGAGGCAGCAGUGGGGAAUAUUGGACAAUGGGCGCAAGCCUGAUCCAGCCAUACCGCGUGGGUGAAGAAGGCCUUCGGGUUGUAAAGCCCUUUUGUUGGGAAAGAAAAGCAGCAGGUUAAUACCCCGCUGUUCUGACGGUACCCAAAGAAUAAGCACCGGCUAACUUCGUG